AAUGAACGUUGGCGGCGUGGAUUAGGCAUGCAAGUCGAGCGAGAAGCCUCCUUCGGGAGGUGGACAGCGGCGAAAGGGAGAGUAACGCGUAGAUACCUACCUUCGGAUUUGGGAUAGCGGGGAGAAAUCGCCGGUAAUACCAAAUAACGUCUCCGGACCAAAGGCUUCGGCCGUCUGAAGAGGGGUCUGCGUCCUAUUAGCUUGUUGGCGGGGUAAUGGCCCACCAAGGCAAAGAUGGGUACCGGGUGUGAGAGCAUGGCCCGGCUCACUGGGACUGAGACACUGCCCAGACACCUACGGGUGGCUGCAGUCGAGAAUCUUCCGCAAUGGGCGAAAGCCUGACGGAGCGACGCCGCGUGCGGGAUGAAGGC
rnacentral:rRNA from 1 species